rnacentral:rRNA from 1 species
GACGAACGCUGGCGGCGUGCUUAACACAUGCAAGUCGAACGGAAAGGCCCUGCUUUUGUGGGGUGCUCGAGAGGCGAACGGGUGAGUAACACGUGAGUAACCUGCCCUUGACUUUGUGAUAACUUCAGGAAAAUGGGGCUAAUACCGGAUAUGAGCUCCUGCUGCAUGGGGGGGGUUGGAAAGUUUCGGCGGUUGGGGCUGGUUUCGCGGCUUAUGAGCUUGUUGGGGUAGUAGUGGCUUACAAAGGCUUUGACGGAUAGGCGGCCUGGGAGGGUGACCGGCGACAAUGCGACUAAGAUAGGGAGCAGACGCCUACGGGAGGCAGUAGUGGGGAACAUUGCACAACGGGCGGAAGCGAGAGACAGAAACGCCGCGUGCGUGAUGACGGCCUUCGGGGGGUAAACCGCUGUCUCCUGUGCCGAAGCGUUAGUGACGGUAAUGGGUAAAGAAGCACCGGCUAACUACGUG